GAUAUCGCUAUUUUAACUGGAGGUUAGCACAAAUGAUAAUCUUUUUUACUCUUCAUUUUUCCCCUUUUCUCCUUUUUUAUUUCCUUACUACUAUUGUAUGUAGUGUUCCAAAAAAUUGAUCUUUUCAUUGCCCUCCACCCCCACCUGUCUCCUUUUCUUACUUCCAUCUUCUUCAACUGAAUCACAGGAACUGUUUUAAGAGAUGAAGU
rnacentral:misc_RNA from 1 species